UGCGGGGUGGAGCAGUCUGGUAGCUCGCAAGAUUCAUUAUCUUGAGGUCGUUGGUUCAAAUCCUUCUCCCGCAACCA
rnacentral:tRNA from 1 species